ensembl:lncRNA
AAUUGCUGCGUUGAUUGUUGCAUCACGUCUGGAAAGGACAUGCUGUUAGAUGGGGAGUUAAGUUUGUUUCAACAACAUCUAUGUAUCAGAUUUUUGUGUUAAAACAUAAGCACUGUCUCGCAGGAGGCAAUGAAAAGCUUAAUUUGUUUUUGUAAUGUCUUUUGACGAGUUAUGUGAGCUGUGCACUUGUAUACUCAUUGGCUCAUAACAGAAUCUGUAGGGAGAGCGAGUACAUGAUUAUAAUCAUCAGUAUGCAGCCUUUUUUUUUUCGCAGCCUCGGAGGGACAAAACUUUGAGUUCAUAAUGCAAUAUUCAAAGAGUCAAUUAUGUACAUUGUUGAGCUGCAAAAAUAUAAGCUGAAAGUGUGUACUUUAAAAUAGUGUGGGCUCAAUUUCAGUAUAACUGGUGAUGCUUCUGCAUAGCGUUCAUUAUUUUCAGUAAACAUCAUGAGGUUGUGAAAUGCAAAAGUGUUUGUGUGCCGUAUGUAUUUGCAGUGUUAUUGCUGCCUGUUGUUCUGAAUGAACUCUUUUAAAUAUAGGAGUUAAUAUACACUACUGUGCAAAAGUUUGAGGUCUGUAAGAUUUAUUGAUUUAUUAAUUUAUUUAAUUGAUUUAUUUGAAAGAAAUACAUUUAUUCAGCAAGGAUGCAUUAAAUGAUCAAAAGUGACAGUAAAAACAUUUAGAAUGUUACAAAAUAUUUCUAUUUCGAAUAAAUGCUGUUGUUUAAAAGACAACAAAGAUUAUUAGAGUAUGUUUCAUAAGAUUUUUUUUUAUUCUUUCUACUUCAAAAUUUCAUAUUUAAUUCAGUGUUUUACUUUGCUUUUUCUUUGUAAUUCUUUGUGAAAUUUACUAGCAAUUUCUGAGUGAAAACUGUUUUAUCUAUCUAUCUAUCUAUCUAUCUAUCUAUCUAUCUAUCUAUCUAUCUAUCUAUCUAUCUAUCUAUUCAUUAAAUCUUUUUUUUUUCUCCCAGCAGGACACUUUCACCUUCAGUAUGAAAGCAGAGCGUUUCCAGUUCCACCACGGCUGAAACGGCAUGAUACAAAUGAUGCUUCCUCCAGCUAUUUACUGUUGUGGUUAG